GACGAACGCUGGCGGCGUGCUUAACACAUGCAAGUCGAACGGAAAGGCCCUGCUUUUGUGGGGUGCUCGAGUGGCGAACGGGUGAGUAACAAGUGAGUAACCUGCCCUUUACUUUGUGGUAACGUCAGGAAACUGGGGCUCAUACCGGAUAGGAGCUCCUGCUGCAUGGUGGUGGGUGUAACGUUUCGGCGGUUGGGGCUGGACUCGCGGCUUAUCAUCUUGUUGGUGGGGUAGUGGCUUACCAAGGCUUUGACGGGUAGCCGGCCUGAGAGGGUGACCGGCCCCGUUGGAACUGAGAUACGGCCCAUACUCCUACGGGAGGCAGUAGUGGGGAAUAUUCCACAAUGGGCGGCAGCCUGAUGCAGCAACGCCGCGUGCGGGAGGACGGCCUUCGGGUUGUAAACCGCUUUCGCAUGUGACGAACCGUGAGUGACGGUAAUGUGUAAAGAAGCACCGGCUAACUACGUG
rnacentral:rRNA from 1 species